UGCUAUUGAUAAAAUGGAGGAGGGAUAGAUACACUGUCUUGUAUCGAGUAUCUCUUGGAGUUUUGUAGAAUAUGAACCUUCUGAUCAUGUUGUUGCAGAAAAGGAAUCUCUCUCUACCACUGUGAUCACACUCAUUACUGAACUACCCAGCUUGACCUUUGUACGGAGACAGGGCAGACGAACACAGCUUUCAGAAGCUAUAGGACCAGCACAAAUUCAUUAAAUUAAUUGGACUUGCACCAGCGAGUUAAUUUUGCACAGAAGGCACAGAAAAAGCAUCUGUACUGAAGAGAUGGAUGUACGAGGGCCCAAUCCUACUGCUCUUGUCGUCAACAGAACAGUCAGUUCCUACUGAUGUCAGGAGGAGCAGAACAGGACCCAACAUGCAUUAUUUUACUUCCAAAUUCAUAAACGCUUUUAAAGUUCUUUUUAGUUACUAACUACAGUUAGUAAACAUGGUGUGCA